GGCAGCCAGUCAUAUAAAGAGGCACUUGACUGUGUGACUGCAGACUCCUGGUGCUCAAGUCCUGGACUCCUUUGGAGAACCUGAUCCUGAGACUUCAGCACAAUGUCUUCUCAAGAGCAGCAGUGCCAGCAGCCAAGUCAGACUUCUGUGUGCUCACCCACAAAGUCUUCUGAGACUUCUCGACCACUGAAGUGCCCACAGGCUUGUCCUCCUCCAAUGUGCCCACAGAUUUAUUUUCCUCCAACAUGCCCACAGACUUGUACUCCUCCUCCAGUGUGCACACAGAUUUCUACUCCAAUAUGUCCUGGUCCUUAUACUUCUCCAACAUGGCCAUAUUCUUGUAAUCGUCGAAUGUGAACACAGCCUUGUAUCCUCCAAUAUGCCCACAGCCUUGUCCUCCUCCAAAGUGCCCACAACCAUGCCCCCCUCAGCCAUGACAGUGGACUUGUGCUCCUGUGCAACCUCAUCCACCUUGCCAGCAGAAGUGCCUACAGAAGAACAUGCGAGUGCUGCAGCAGUCACCAGGACCAAGAGAAGAGGAGGAAAUCUAUCUUCCCCCACUUCCACAGAAACACGUACAUCUUUGCUUUAAAGUCUGUCAUGGCUGCAGAAGAAUUUUGUCCACCCUACAGGUCCAUGUGUCUGUGAUGAUCCCUUAGAGUGAGGGCAUUCCCCUGAGAUUGUUCUUCUUCUGCUGUCAAGUGGUGGCUGAGUUUGUUCCUUCCACACCACCUCAGUGUCCCAGAUGCUCAGUGAUGAGCAGUUGCUUCCACCCUGUGCACUCAGAGGAUGUUUCCAAAACCAUGAGUUUACUUGUUUGUGUUGUUGUGUCCAUGAUUUCAUUUCCUGAAUAAAGUACAAUAUGGCUGUUAGUA